UGGUGGAACCACUGAACUAAAUCCCUGGCCCAGAAUACAGGUUCUUGAAUGACAUUUAUAAACAGCAGCAAAUCAGCCUCUCCAAGAUUCAGAAUACAGACAUUGGAAUAUAACAACUUGAAGAAGAGAAGGAGGGAGAUGGAUACCUGGGACCCAGAAAAGAUCUGAAGGGAGAAUUGGAGCCUACAGGGAAAAUGAAGAUACAGACCUCAAUGCAUAAAGGAAGUGGGAAACUGCCUUUUCUCCCUGACUCCUGGCUUGUGGUGUGACAGAGAAGGAUGGAAUUUACAAAGACAAAGUGUGGGGGGGUGUUGAAUUCAGAGGCUUCCAGUGAGAAACACACUGGUGGACUGGUACAGUGGAUGCUGUAUACUAGAAGAGCUGGUGAGUGACUCUACUUCAGACAUCCCAAAGAGAGGGUGGUUGGCCAAACACCAUUUUAGGGAACGGCCAACUGAAUCCAGGACUCAGAGCAGCCAUGGGUUGGCUUCAUCUCAGGGCUCCUAGGAACUGUGUGAGGCACAACUACAGGAGACAUUCAGGAUCAAGGCGCCAAAGUAAGGCCAACAAGAGACACAGAGAGUGUUGUAAGCUGAACAACUCAGACCCCAAACCCACAACAAGAGGCCAAGAUCACCUUGAACUUCUGUGGAGUUGAAAGGACCAGAAUUGGCAACAUGCACUAUUCCUACUGCAGGCUUGCUGGGAUUGUCCAGCACUCCACCCUAAUCCCACUGAAGGCUCACUGAGAUCAUCCAGCCAUAGAUCUGGGCUCUGUUUGCUUUUAUUAUCUACCAGUGACAGCAGAGAUGUGCCAUGAAUUGGAAACCACCACAAAAUUGUAAACUACAGAAGAUAACCACAGGCUUUAAAUUACAGAAAAAUCUCUUUUAAAAAAUUUUUUUACUGAGGUAUACUUUUUUAUAACUUAUAAAAUCCAUCCAUUAUAAGUAUAUAAUUCAAUAAUUUAUAGAGUUGUGCAACCAUGACCACAGCCUGGCUUUAGAAUAUCUUCAUCAGACUAAAAGAUCCCCUGUAUCCUUUUGUAAUCAGUCCCCAUUCCCACUCCUAGCCUCAGGAAACCAUUAAUUUCCUUUCUGUCUCUGUAUAUUUGUCUUUUGUAGAGAUUUCAUAUGAAUGGGAUUAUAAUCUGUACAGCUUUUUGCAUCUGGCUGCUUGCACUUAGCAUUAUAUUUUCUUUCAAAUUGAAGUAUAAUUUACAAACCAUAAAAUUCAGUAUUUUAACAUGGUUACUUAGGUUUUAGUAUAUUGACAAGGUUACAACCAUCACCACUAUUUGAUUUCAGAAUAUUUUCAUCACACCAAAAAAACCCCCACCCCAUAUUUAUUAUUACUGGAUUCUCAUCUCCUCUCCCACACUAUUCUUCUGGAAGCUGGUAAUCUAUUUUCUGUCUCUAUGGAAUUGCCCACUCAGGACAUUUCAUAUAAAUGGGAUAAUAUAAUA